AAUUGUCGUGUAAUAUAUUACUUGGAUUGAUUGUUAUCAUUCUUCUCAUCCCGGCAUGUUAUCUCAUGCUAAGAAAAUAUUUUAAGCAAGCGUGUAGAAAUGCGAUUGAACACUAUCCUUUAGACUGCUAUUAUGGUAUAGCUUCUCAUCAGUGCACGAAAAAAAAAUCAGCUCAACCGAAAAAGAAAUAUAAAAAGAAAAAGAGGAGUAAAAAGCAACGUAAAAAAGAGAGUAUGGGACACUCUAAAAAGAAAAGAAAAUAGCACAUGUAAUUUGAAGACGAAAUAAAACAAUCUAAUCAAAACAAUUGAUAACAUGUCUGAUAAAUGUAUUAAAGAGAUAAUGACACGAUAAGCGGCUUAUACUUGUAUAUAUUUCUAAGUAAGUUCUAUAUUUGAAAGCAAUUUGUAGGUUUUUUCCUUUGCUGUUGUUUCCUUUUUUAUUUCGUAUAUAUUUUGAUUGUGUGUAUACGUAUAAUUUCACUUAUAUUCACUUUUUUGUUUUGACCUUCUUGAUGUUUUUUUUAUUCUUGUACAAUGUGUGCAAAUUGAGGUAAGAUUAAUGGUAUAUUUUAACGAAAAGUAGUGAUGUUGUAGUGGUUAAUAACCUGUUGAUAUCAAAUAAAUUUUUGAAUCAUAAAGUUUUGUUCACGAAAAAAUAUGCAUACGAAGUUGAACAAGCACCUUGUUCAAAGUUUUGCCUUUUUAUCAUUUUGUCUAAAAAAUAAUACUGAAUGGUAUGACUCCAUCAAUAGCUCUGAAGUAUUUAAUAAGCAUAUUGAAUGUAAAUGAAAGUAAGUUAAAGUUUAAAUUCUUCUAAAGGUAAAUUGCUGCCAUCUUAGUCAUACGAUACGAUGUCAAAAAUGCCAAAUUUCCACUCGUCGUUGCCUUUGCUACUUUUUGAAGUGAACACUGAUUAUGAAUAGAAUCCAAAUAAAUGGAUCCUUUAUGAUUAUUUUUAUUGUGUGUUUAUUAAAAUGUUUCUUGAUUAUGUACAUUUGAUCAUAAUAAAGAUAAA